rnacentral:rRNA from 1 species
GACUAACGCUGGCGGCGUGCUUAACACAUGCAAUUCGAACGGAAAGGCCCUGCUUUUGUGGGGUGCUCGAGUGGCGAACGGGUGAGUAACACGUGAGUAACCUGCCCUUGACUUUGGGAUAACUUCAGGAAACUGGGGCUAAUACCGGAUAGGAGCUCCUGCUGCAUGGUGGGGGUUGGAAAGUUUCGGCGGUUGGGGAUGGACUCGCGGCUUAUCAGCUUGUUGGUGGGGUAGUGGCUUACCAAGGCUUUGACGGGUAGCCGGCCUGAGAGGGUGACCGGCCACAUUGGGACUGAGAUACGGCCCAGACUCCUACGGGAGGCAGCAGUGGGGAAUAUUGCACAAUGGGCGGAAGCCUGAUGCAGCAACGCCGCGUGCGGGAUGACGGCCUUCGGGUUGUAAACCGCUUUCGCCUGUGACGAAGCGUGAGUGACGGUAAUGGGUAAAGAAGCACCGGCUAACUACGUGCCAGCAGCCGCGGUGAUACGUAGGGUGCGAGCGUUGUCCGGAUUUAUUGGGCGUAAAGGGCUCGUAGGUGGUUGAUCGCGUCGGAAGUGUAAUCUUGGGGCUUAACCCUGAGCGUGCUUUCGAUACGGGUUGACUUGAGGAAGGUAGGGGAGAAUGGAAUUCCUGGUGGAGCGGUGGAAUGCGCAGAUAUCAGGAGGAACACCAGUGGCGAAGGCGGUUCUCUGGGCCUUUCCUGACGCUGAGGAGCGAAAGCGUGGGGAGCGAACAGGCUUAGAUACCCUGGUAGUCCACGCUGUAAACGGUGGGUACUAGGUGUGGGGUCCAUUCCACGGGUUCCGUGCCGUAGCUAACGCUUUAAGUACCCCGCCUGGGGAGUACGGCCGCAAGGCUAAAACUCAAAGGAAUUGACGGGGCCCCGCACAAGCGGCGGAGCAUGCGGAUUAAUUCGAUGCAACGCGUAGAACCUUACCUGGGUUUGACAUGGAUCGGGAGUGCUCAGAGAUGGGUGUGCCUCUUUUGGGGUCGGUUCACAGGUGGUGCAUGCCUGUCGUCAGCUCGUGUCGUGAGGUGCUGGGUUAAGUCCCGCAACGAGCGCAACCCUUGUUCACUGUUGCCAGCACGUUAUGGUGGGGACUCAGUGGAGACCGCCGGGGUCAACUCGGAGGAAGGUGGGGAUGACGUCAAGUCCUCAUGCCCCUUAUGUCCAGGGCUUCACGCAUGCUACAAUGGCUGGUACAGAGAGUGGCGAGCCUGUGAGGGUGAGCGAAUCUCGGAAAGCCGGUCUCAGUUCGGAUUGGGGUCUACAACUCGACCUCAUGAAGUCGGAGUCGCUAGUAAUCGCAGAUCAGCAACGCUGCGGUGAAUACGUUCCCGGGGCU